GAUGAACGCUAGCGGCAGGCCUAAUACAUGCAAGUCGAACGUGAUUGUUGUAGCAAUAUGACAUGAAAGUGGCGCACGGGUGCGUAACACGUAUGCAAUCUACCUUUAACAGGAGAAUAGCUUCGAGAAAUCGGAAUUAAUACUCCAUAACAUUACGGAAUGGCAUCAUUUUGUAAUCAAACCUCCGGGGGUUAAAGAUGAGCAUGCGCAACAUUAGCUAGUUGGUAAGGUAAUGGCUUACCAAGGCUACGAUGUUUAGGGGGUCUGAGAGGAUGAUCCCCCACACUGGUACUGAGACACGGACCAGACUCCUACGGGAGGCAGCAGUAGGGAAUACUGGUCAAUGGACGAAAGUCUGAACCAGCCAUGCCGCGUGCAGGAUGACGGCCCUCUGGGUUGUAAACUGCUUUUAUACGGGAAGAAACACUCCUACGUGUAGGAGCUUGACGGUACCGUAAGAAUAAGGAUCGGCUAACUCCGUGCCAGCCGCCGCCGUAACAC
rnacentral:rRNA from 1 species